rnacentral:rRNA from 1 species
UACGUAGGGUGCAAGCGUUGUCCGGAAUUAUUGGGCGUAAAGAGCUCGUAGGCGGUCUGUCGCGUCGGCUGUGAAAACCCGGAGCUCAACUCCGGGCCUGCAGUCGAUACGGGCAGACUGGAGUUCGGCAGGGGAGACUGGAAUUCCUGGUGUAGCGGUGAAAUGCGCAGAUAUCAGGAGGAACACCGGUGGCGAAGGCGGGUCUCUGGGCCGUACCUGGACACUGAACCGCGACAGCAUGGGGAGCAAACAGG